GCCGGGUGUGGUGGCGCAUGCCUGUAAUCCCAGCUACUCAGGAGGCUGAGGCAGGAGAAUCGCUUGAACCUGGGAGGCAGAGAUUGCAGUGAGCUGAGAUCGUGCCACUGCACUCCAGCCUGGGCAACAGAGCGAGACCCUGUCUCAA
rnacentral:SRP_RNA from 2 species